GGUUGGCUCAGUUUGGUGAAGCAUGUUUUCAUCAUCUUCCAUCCCAUAGAGGAAAGAGCAUCCAUUUUGAAGGGCACUGAGCCAUGAAAUAUACAGUCAACCCAAGGAUGGAACUAUAGCUUGCCACUUAUGACUUCUCCAAGAAUUUGGCAAACAUUGCUAUUUGAUCAGUAUAAUCUUCUCUGAAAAUCAAGACCCAUCUAGUAAACUU